rnacentral:rRNA from 1 species
UACGUAGGUGGCAAGCGUUGUCCGGAUUUACUGGGCGUAAAGAGCGCGCAGGCGGUCGUUCAAGUCGCGUGUGAAAGCCCCCGGCUCAACUGGGGAGGGUCACGCGAUACUGAUCGACUCGAAGGCAGGAGAGGGAAGUGGAAUUCCCGGUGUAGUGGUGAAAUGCGUAGAUAUCUGGAGGAACACCGAUGGCGAAGGCAGCUGCCUGGCCCAGAACUGACGCUGAGGUGCGAAAGCGUGGGGAGCGAACGGG